AACGAACGCUGGCGGCAUGCCUAAUACAUGCAAGUCGAACGAGACCUUCGGGUCUAGUGGCGCACGGGUGCGUAACGCGUGGGAACCUGCCCUUAGGUUCGGAAUAACUCCCCGAAAGGGGUGCUAAUACCGGAUAAUGUCUUCGGACCAAAGAUUUAUCGCCGUUGGAUGGGCGCGCGUUGGAUUAGCUAGUUGGUAGGGUAAAAGCCUACCAAGGCGACGAUCCAUAGCUGGUCUGAGAGGAUGAUCAGCCACACUGGGACUGAGACACGGCCCAGACUCCUACGGGAGGGAGCAGUGGGGAAUAUUGGACAAUGGGCGAAAGCCUGAUCCAGCAAUGCCGCGUGAGUGAUGAAGGCCUUAGGGUUGUAAAGCUCUUUUACCCGGGAUGAUAAUGACAGUACCGGGAGAAUAAGCUCCGGCUAACUCCGUG
rnacentral:rRNA from 1 species